rnacentral:lncRNA from 1 species
CUCGCCCUUCUUUUUGUCUUCCCUAACCAUUGGAAGGUCACAUGGCUCACCGAGAAAAACAGGAAUUGAUGUAUGCCUUUCGUUCUCUUGAAGUUUACGGCGGGGACACUGAUCCCCAAUUGUUUUACUCUCUUUCCUAUAUGUUUAAGGCAGUGGAGACAUAAACAAAAGCAAUGAUAUAGAUCUUACUUGGUUAAAGCUUUCAGGUAGGUGCUAUGUGGUUUAUCGGUUGCCUAGAGAGUUGACAAAGAGCAGGAUGUGCCCUUUAUGCUCAGAGGGAAAAUUAGACGUACAUUGCUCACUGA